UUAGACGAAUCAUCUGGAAAGUUGAAUCAAAGAAGGUAAUAAUCCUGUAGUUGAAAAUAUAUUCUCUCUUGAGUGGAUCCUGAGUACGACGGAGCACGUGAAAUUCCGUCGGAAUCUGGGAGGACCAUCUCCUAAGGCUAAAUACUCUCUAGUGACCGAUAGUGAACCAGUACCGUGAGGGAAAGGUGAAAAGUACCCCGGAAGGGGAGUGAAAGAGAACUUGAAACCGUGUGCUUACAAGUAGUCAGAGCCCGUUAAUGGGUGAUGGCGUGCCUUUUGUAGAAUGAACCGGCGAGUUACGAUCUGAUGCAAGGUUAAGCAGGAAAUGUGGAGCCGUAGCGAAAGCGAGUCUGAAUAGGGCGUUGAGUAUUUGGUCGUAGACCCGAAACCAGGUGAUCUACCCAUGGUCAGGUUGAAGUUCAGGUAACACUGAAUGGAGGACCGAACCGACUUACGUUGAAAAGUGAGCGGAUGAACUGUGGGUAGCGGAGAAAUUCCAAUCGAACUUGGAGAUAGCUGGUUCUCUCCGAAAUAGCUUUAGGGCUAGCCUCAAGUGAUGAUUAUUGGAGGUAGAGCACUGUUUGGACGAGGGGCCCCU
rnacentral:rRNA from 1 species